GAAAGAAAUGUCUUCUAUCUUAAUAACCGUCAUAUUAUGUAAUUCCUUAAUGAUUUCCCAUUCUUCAUUCGAUUGUUGCCGACACCAGGAUCGGAGCACCAAAUUUUGGAGGACUUGUCAUUUGAACAGCAUAAAAGUUGUUUUUGAUUGGUAUUUUAGGAAAGGGGGUAGAGUAGAAAUAUUGUACGGUGGUUGUACUUACAAGGUUC